UUUGGAAGAACUGGUAUUCCAAACUGGAAGGGGUUUUCUGUAUUUAAUUUCCUCUCCGGAAGUUUACCUUCAGAAGUCCAAGUGUAAGGUCAAGCCUUGGGUUGCCGGAAAUGGUAAUGUCCUUUACUGUCUGAGCACCCAGACAGUACUUAAUGAAACAUCCUACUUUGUGGACAUUGCUGCUGCUGCUUCUGAAUUAUGAGGCAUGCCAUGCAUCACUUCUGCAGUGGAUAGCUUCAUUUUUUGCAAAGUGCAUGGAAUGAAGAUAGUGGGGAUGAUGACUGCAAGCACUGAAAGACCUAAAUGAAUGUGUCCAAAAUCGUAAUAACAUGAUUACGGGCACAGAAUUCAACAGUAAGAGGGAGCCAUGUUAUCAAGAAAGUCAGAAACACACAAGAGCACCAGGGUGUUUCUCAAGCUGCAUCAAAGUGAUCAGUGUGUGUACCCUAGGAAAACAGGACAGUAGUAUUGCAGGACACCUACGGGAAUUUGUGUUGUUGAAACAAAUCACAUUAUGGAAAUGGAGUUUGGAGAAAUGAGCACCAGAGGAAAUGUUUAUAAAAUCCCAAGGAUCCUGUUUAUAGAAGAUGAAAAAGGACAUUGGGAUGGGUUCUGCAAGGUUGUUAACAAUUUUGUUUGAUGACAGAAAAGGGAGAGUUUCCUUCCUACUUUCUAGUUUUAAAAAUAUUUCCCAGUACAUUUUGGAGCGAUGGUGAUAAAUACACUCAACAAUAGAGAAGCAUAUAUACAGUUCCAAGCUCAUUACA